UACAGAGGUCUCAAGCGUUGUUCGGAUUCAUUGGGCGUAAAGGGUGCGUAGGCGGCGCGGUAAGUCGGGUGUGAAAUCUUGGAGCUUAACUCCGAAACUGCAUUCGAUACUGCCGUGCUUGAGGACUGGAGAGGAGACUGGAAUUUACGGUGUAGCGGUGAAAUGCGCAGAUAUCAGGAGGAACACCGGUGGCGAAGGCGGGUCUCUGGGCAAUAACUGACGCUGAGGAGCGAAAGCGUGGGGAGCGAACAGG
rnacentral:rRNA from 1 species